GACGAACGCUGGCGGCGUGCCUAAUACAUGCAAGUUGAGCGCUGAAGGUUGGUGCUUGUACCAAUUGGAUGAGCAGCGAACGGGUGAGUAACGCGUGGGGAAUCUGCCUUUGAGCGGGGGACAACAUUUGGAAACGAAUGCUAAUACCGCAUAAAAACUUUAAACAUAAGUUUUAAGUUUGAAAGAUGCAAUUGCAUCACUCAAAGAUGAUCCCGCGUUGUAUUAGCUAGUUGGUGAGGUAAAGGCUCACCAAGGCGAUGAUACAUAGCCGACCUGAGAGGGUGAUCGGCCACAUUGGGACUGAGACACGGCCCAAACUCCUACGGGAGGCAGCAGUAGGGAAUCUUCGGCAAUGGACGAAAGUCUGACCGAGCAACGCCGCGUGAGUGAAGAAGGUUUUCGGAUCGUAAAACUCUGUUGGUAGAGAAGAACGUUGGUGAGAGUGGAAAGCUCAUCAAGUGACGGUAACUACCCAGAAAGGGACGGCUAACUACGUG
rnacentral:rRNA from 1 species